rnacentral:rRNA from 1 species
UCCGGCAGCUAUAUCAACCUGCAACUCACAAAUGGUAACCCACUAAAACUAAGCAGGUGUGAUCCUGGCCAGUACCUGGAUGGGAGACCUCCUGGAAAAGUUAAGGUUGCUGCCAAAA